rnacentral:lncRNA from 1 species
GGAAUUUAUCACAGCAGUUGGGAUCAAUAUGAGGCUCUGCAGUGUUAAACUUCAUGAACAUAGUCUCCAGUAAAUAUUUACUAAAUAUAAAACGAGUACUCUCUAACGUUCAUAAUGGAACUGAUGACUUGAAGAGAUAGCAAGUAACUAAUUUGGAAGUAGUGACUUUGAUUACAGUUUUUUUUUUCAGCUGACGUUUAUUUCUCUAGUUUUGCAUCAUUCUUAGCUAAGAAAACAAACCAUUUAAACUAGUUUCUGGAUGAUGUAACAUUUGAUUACAAAGUCAUGGGAAAUACUUCUUUUGUUUAGGAGGAGUGACUAUAAACUAAAGAUGGAAAAUUGUUAGGCUUGUCAGUUGAUUAAAAAAAAAAACUAUCAAACUUUUGGUCCUUUUACCUCAUACUCCUAAGUGCUAGGAUUAGCUUCUGCCUCUCAGUUAAAGAAAAGAAAUGAGAAGGGGUUGGAGAGAUAGUUCAGCAGUUAAGAGCACUGGGCAGCUCUUCCAGAGGAUCUGGGUUCAAUUCCUAGCUCGUAACUGUCUGUAACUCUAGUUCCAGGGGAUCUGACCCCCCCUUACACAGAUAUACAUGCAGGCAAAAAAAUAAACAAAUCUUAAAAAAAAAAGAAAAAUAGCAGUUCAAAGUUGGACUGUAUGUAUACAGAUUCUCUACAGCAUGCCCACCUUUUGGACCGUGCAACAAGAUGUGGUCAUUGGCAGAGUUUAUGUUUGAGAACUACACAAUUGGGAGUUGCAAGAAAAAAUUGUAAAAUCAGUUCGUAAUGUGUAUGAUUUUAUAUUGGACCUCAUCCCUAACUCUCCUCGUCCGCAUUCAGCUCAGAGGCUGCAGGUUGUAACUGUGCUUAGAGUUUAGUUCUCAGCCAGGUUUGAGAGUUCUUGGUUUGAGAGUUCUUCCUUCUGGCUUCACUGAUACUGCCCCAGUACUGAUGGAAGACCCGGAUGUUACCUGAACUGGGCUCCUGGCUCUCAACCUCAGUUCUACUUUCAGGCAUGUUUGACUUGGAAAUUGUAAGAUAAUGGCAUCAUUUAUUCCUCUUUUAAAAUAUCUUCAGAGAGUCUGGAACACUUGUUGCUCUUUCAUGAGACUCCUGUUUAGUUCCCAGAGUCCACAUGGAAGCUCACAGUCCUUUGGAACUCCACUUCCAGGGGAUCCAGUGCCCUCUUUUGGCCUUCAUGGGUACCAGGUUUGCAAAUGGUGAACAGCUCUACAUGUGGGCAAACCAUUCACAAACAUAAGCAAAAUGUAACUCUAAAACAAUAAAGAAAUAACCUUAACUGCAAGUCACUCUUGCCAAGUGACAGAGACAGCAGAGCUCAAGCGGCUGCGAGGUAAGAAAGAACAUUUCACAACAUCCUAUUAUGCUGCUGACCUUGGCCUUGCUUUUGAAGAAGGGUAGGCAGCAGAUUGCUCCAGACACAUGAAAAGGCAAACUAACUUUCUUUUACUGAUGUUGACACUGGUUACAGAGGUUGCAAAGAGGAUUGGAUUGCUGUCUACUUGAAAGAUGACACUUGACAUUAAGUGAUCACAGACAUAAAUGCGGAGGGGUGUCUUCAAGGCACUUUUCAUCUACGAUCCCACAGAAGUUAAAUGUGUUUGGGUUUAUGGGCAGGAUUCAUCAGCACUAAAUACCAACAUAGAAUCUGGUUGGGGUGUUUUCUUAGCUAGCCACUGUAUGUGAAUACAUAGAUCGUCUUCCUUAAAAAGUAUUUCAUUGAGAUGGAAGAAGGCUUCGCAUCUGCAUGAGAUCUUGUAGUACUCGGACACUUCAUUUCUAGUCAGUUCUUAUGUGUUUUUACUUUGUUUUUCUGUGCCUGAGAGCAUGCUAUGUAAAUGCUAUACCACUGAGCUUUGUACCCUCAGCCCUAAGCUUUGAUUUUGGCAUUCUGGAUAUAUGUCUUACAGUAAAGCAUCUUAAAUACCUGGG